rnacentral:lncRNA from 1 species
GGAGCACCGGGGAGGCAAGGAAGGAAGAGGGAUUCAAGGUAUGGUAAAACCGUGGCACAGCCAAAACCAGAAGCACGACCCCGCGACUUGUCUUACUCUGAUAGAGGCUCAGCUCUUGGGACCGCGUGGUCACGUUCAGUGGGAGCCGCGUGCUGCUGAUCAGCGGGGCUGCCGUCGUCAUCGUGGUUCGGCUGCAGGAGGAAAAAGAGGAAUGGUUUCAUGAAACGUCAGCACUGAAUUGGGCCAGCAUUCGUUAGCAGCCGCCUCUUAAAGACUCGUCGUGUUUUCUCAGCGGUGAACUCAGUGGAUGUUUUGCUACGCCGUGAAGCCGUUUGCUUUACGAUAUACACAGCGCAGCGUUCGGAGGGUAAGACAGACACAGCAACGCGUUGUUUCCCCAGCAUUACUGCUGCUACAGAGGCUUUGGAUAACACAGACAUGUUAAAGGCUUUGGGAUUUCAGAUUGUCGCUCCGGGUUCUGAGACUUUGGUCCAUAAGAGGAGGAGGGGUCUGAGUGAGGAGCACCGCAUCCCCCCGCCCAGUCCUGCACACACAGCAGGCUUACGGGUCUGCCAAUCCUCCAUCCAGCAUUCAACAACACAUCUUCAAAGGUAGGGAAGAAAAGGGCAGGUCUCCCGGUGUCACUGCUGAGGGGUGAUGUAAGGAUACGUCUUCGUGGGGAUUGCAAGGUUAGCAAAGGGAGGCUGUAGCAGCAUGCAGCAGUGAUCGCAUAUGCAACAAAAGGAGGGGUUUGCUGAAGCCUGCGCAGGUUCACUGCUUGUUGCUGAAGUCCGCGUGGGUUCGCUGCUCUUCCAUUGGAUUUGUUGAGGUCGGCUCAGGUUCGUUGGGGUUCUUUGGUCCCUCGGUGCACCCCACAGCCUUCCCAAUGUCCCAACCAAGCUUCCAAGGCUGCCAGAGCGCCCCCUGGAGCACCCCACGACGCU